rnacentral:lncRNA from 1 species
AUGAUUCACCAACGUUGGAAAGGAGCACCGGUCGAGGACCACGGCAACGACGCCAACCAUACAUCGUCUCACUCCCUUUUCCCCUUUAUUUCCAGCCAGCUUCGGCAGCUACAUGCAGCAAUCUGCCAAUGUGUAGGAGAUGAACUGAGUGAUGUCCAUAUCCUGGCAUCCCCGAUGUUCUUUGUUUCUACGUACUUCGACAAAGCAUGCAUCAUCAAGAAGCACGGACGGGCUCGUAUGCCUGUGGGCCGUGGUUGUGCCACUUUAUGCGUCGUAGCCUAUGAAGAGCGAUGGCCCUUUCCAGGCUUCCAGCCCAGUGAAAGCCCAUAAGAUGGACCAU